CUGCACACAGUUCCCAGACCUGCCUCCUCCGCUGACCCGAGUCUCAUCCCGUGGGAAAGUAGGGAGACGGCGCCGUGCCCAGCAGGUCUCUGCUCCCCGAGCAGCUCAGCUGCACCCGAGGACGGAGGGCCGGCAGCCCCGGCUUCGGUCCCCACUGGCGCGGGCAUCCAGGUGCAGGGGCACAGGGGCCCAGCGAGUCAUGUUCUGGCCUGCAGGGCGGCGUGCUGGCCACUCCUCUGCCUUUGGGAUCUGCAACAAAGAAAGCAAGCUAGCGCCGCAGCCAGUGCCCGGCCCACACUGCUGGCCGCGGAGCCCACUGCCCUGCACACCCUGGGCGCCGGAGCUGGCCCAGCCCAGAGCCACGGCUUGCUCCGGCCCUCGGCGCUGAGCUGGGCUGAUGGCGCCAUCCUGUUCCUCCAAGCCCAGGGCCCUCCCAGCCACUGGACGUGCACAGGCGUUGCCCAUCGCCAAGUCCCUGACAGCGUCCAUCGGCUCCCUCGUGUAAACCAGCUCGCCUGCCAGGGUCGCCACCUCUGCCUGGAGCCGCUCUGUCCACCAGGCCCCAGGCUGCUGCCCCAUGGAGCUUGCAACCGACACCUCCCGCUAUCCUGGGAGCCCAGGGCAGCUGAUGGCCCCACAGGGUCUGCUGAGGCCCAGACCCCACGUCCUUCUGCUGCAGAGCCUGCUGCCAGCCCGGGCCAUGGCCACAGUCACACGGCCACAUGGCCACGUGGCCACGCUCCCAACGCACAGCGGAUCCUUCCACUCCUAAUCCUUCCACAUCUGCCCACAGUAACACCACGCAGCCGAGGCCCCUCUCCCGAGGGCCUGCUACGUGCCAGGUGCCACGUGCUGUGCCACAGGCUCCCACAAGCUUCCCAGAAGCCCGACAGAAGCACGAGGUGCACCCCAUCGAACAGGGAGGAGACCGAGGCCCGUGGUCUUCAGGACGAGGCCCGAUCCUUGCACCGGAGUGAGGGCCUCUGGCUCUGGGCCGCAUUCAGAGGCAGCAGCACCUCCCAGAAUGCACUGCCAGCCCCCCCUCGCGGCUGCGAUCGCCACUCCAGGGUGGGAGGCAGGGGAUCUGCACUAAAGGCACCCCCGUCCUGCCCUGACCGGGCCUACUCCUCCCUUGUCACAGCCACUCUCACGUCCCACCCCUCCCAUGCUGUCUGGCUCCUGACCUCCGCCCUCACCCCUGCCCAUGCUUCCUGGUCGAGCUCUCUCCUCCUUCCAGCAGGGGGCACCAGUGGCCACACUCGACGGGGUGGGGGGCUCCCCAGCAGGUGCCCUGGGCCCUUUGGGGGGCUCGGCCGCCUCCCACAGAGCAGAGCCCACCACUCGGGGAAUGCCCAGGUGUUCCUAGGACACUGCGGGAAGUCCUUCCGGAGGAGAGGGGCGCCCACCUGGCUCACACACCUGCAACCCGGGCGCUUACCUGGAGGCAGGGAGCAGACACGAGGUCAAGCGGGCAAACAUCUGGGACACCAGCCACUGCAGCCACUGGACGUCGUCGGGGAGGUCGGGGAGCCACAGCACCAGUCUGCAGAACACCCCACCACCACCACAUGUGCUUGUGCGCGUACACACUCACCACGCAGGUGCACAUGGCCACACACGUGUGCUCGGCGUGUCGGCAUGAGGGCGAGCCCAGCACAGCGUGAACCUGGCGCGGCUGUCACAGAGGGACGCUGCCCGUGUCGCCCCGUGUCACCCCGCGUCCUGCACGGACGCGCUCCCGGGAGGUGGACACUGCCAGUUUGGGUGAGCCGAGAGUAA
ensembl:lncRNA